UACAGAGGGGGCAAGCGUUAUUCGGAAUUAUUGGGCGUAAAGGGCGCGUAGGCGGCCUGGCAAGUGGAAGGUGAAAUCCCUCGGCUUAACCGAGGAACUGCCCUCCAAACUGCUUGGCUUGAGUCCGGGAGAGGUGAGUGGAAUUCCCAGUGUAGCGGUGAAAUGCGUAGAUAUCAGGAGGAACACCGGUGGCGAAGGCGGGUCUCUGGGCCGAUAUUGACGCUGAGGAGCGAAAGCGUGGGGAGCGAACAGG
rnacentral:rRNA from 1 species